rnacentral:rRNA from 2 species
GACAGAGGUCCCGAGCGUUAGGCGGAAUCACUGGGCUUAAAGCGUGUGUAGGCGGAUUUGUAAGUACCUUGUGAAAUCCCACGGCUCAACCGUGGAACUGCUUGGUAUACUGCUUAUCUUGGGCCAUCUAGGGGCUACCGGAACAAGUGGUGGAGCGGUGAAAUGCGUAGAUAUCACUUGGAACGCCAAUGGUGAAAACAGGUAGCUGGGGAUGUGCCGACGCUGAGACACGAAAGCCAGGGGAGCGAACGGG